AAGUCGUAACAAGGUAACCGUAGGUGAACCUGCGGUUGGAUCAUUACUGAAUUUUGUACUUGUUGAUUCCGCAAGGUUUCUUCAUUUACAUUCAAUGAGGAGGUUAGUCUUGUUGAAAGACAAGGCUCUCUGACUCAACACCCAAACCCUUGUGAAUUUGAAAACGUAAAUGUAAUUUCCCUUGUGGAGGUAGUGGCUUGGUAACAAGUCUUUUUAUUUCCCAAGGGGGUUACUAUUGUUGAAAAACAUUAUCAUUUUAAAACUUUUUACUUUUACUUUUUGUACUGCUUUUGCUUCGGCACUAGUCUUUAUGAAAAUAUUAAAUUGAAAACAACUUUUGACAACGGAUCUCUUGGUUCUC
rnacentral:misc_RNA from 1 species